rnacentral:rRNA from 1 species
UAAUACGUGAGCCCCAAGCGUUAUCCGGAAUUAUUGGGCGUAAAGGGUCCGUAGGGGGUCCUGUUAGUCUUGUGUUAAAUAUCUGGGCUCAACCCAGAUGCUGCGCAGGAAACGGCAGGACUAGAGGGCGUGAGAGGUCAUUAGAACUCAUGGUGUAGGGGUGAAAUCCGUUGAUAUCAUGGGGAAUACCAAAGGCGAAGGCAUAUGACUGGUGCGACCCUGACCCUCAGGGACGAAAGCGUGGGUAGCGAACGGGAUUAGAUACCCCGGUAGUCCACGCCGUAAACGUUGAACACUAGCUGUCUGAAGUGUCGACCCUUCAGGUGGCGUAGCUAACGCGUUAAGUGUCCCGCCUGGGAAGUACGGCCGCAAGGCUA